rfam:Myotis lucifugus cont2.351, whole genome shotgun sequence.
GGCGGUUCUUGGAUGACGCACCAUGGAAUUGGGCUCCCCCUCUCUGGUUCUGGUGCGUCACCCGAGAACCGAG